rnacentral:rRNA from 1 species
AACGAACGCUGGCGGCAGGCCUAACACAUGCAAGUCGAGCGCCCCGCAAGGGGAGCGGCAGACGGGUGAGUAACGCGUGGGAAUCUACCUGAUGGUACGGAAUAGCCCAGGGAAACUUGGAGUAAUACCGUAUAAGCCCGCAAGGGGAAAGAUUUAUCGCCAUCAGAUGAGCCCGCGUUGGAUUAGCUAGUUGGUGAGGUAACGGCUCACCAAGGCGACGAUCCAUAGCUGGUCUGAGAGGAUGAUCAGCCACACUGGGACUGAGACACGGCCCAGACUCCUACGGGAGGCAGCAGUGGGGAAUAUUGGACAAUGGGCGCAAGCCUGAUCCAGCCAUGCCGCGUGAGUGACGAGGGUCUUCGGAUUGUAAAGCUCUUUUGGCGGGGACGAUAAUGACGGUACCCGCAGAAUAAGCCCCGGCUAACUUCGUGCCAGCCGCCGCCGUAAGAC